GACGAACGCUGGCGGCGUGCUUAACACAUGCAAGUCGAACGGAAAGGCCCUGCUUGCAGGGUACUCGAGUGGCGAACGGGUGAGUAACACGUGGGUGAUCUGCCCUGCACUUCGGGAUAAGCCUGGGAAACUGGGUCUAAUACCGGAUAGGAGCCAUUUUUAGUUAGAUGGUUGGAAAGUUUUUUCGGUGUAGGAUGAGCUCGCGGCCUAUCAGCUUGUUGGUGGGGUAAUGGCCUACCAAGGCUGCGACGGGUAGCCGGCCUGAGAGGGUGGACGGCCACAUUGGGACUGAGAUACGGCCCAGACUCCUACGGGAGGCAGCAGUGGGGAAUAUUGCACAAUGGGCGCAAGCCUGAUGCAGCGACGCCGCGUGGGGGAUGACGGCAUUCGGGUUGUAAACUCCUUUCGCUAGGGACGAAGCUUUUGUGACGGUACCUAGAUAAGAAGCACCGGCUAACUACGUG
rnacentral:rRNA from 1 species